CUUCGGUUUCAACAAGCCAGAAACUUGCUGGGUUGAAACUACUAAUACUCCAAGUGAAUCAUCAACUUGGAAUGUUUUGCCACCUUUUUGAACAGGUCAACUCAACCAAGCUUUCAGUCGGGCCACAAGCUUUUUGAACAAUGUACAAAAGAAAAUCUACACAACAAUAUGGCAAGACAACAACACUUCUUGUUUGCAUAUCAUACCUUUCAAAUUUUCUUAGCAGGAACAUUGUAUCAAAGAAAUUGAAUAGUAAAGAGAAAAAACAAUACAA